rnacentral:lncRNA from 1 species
GAUUUCAAAGAACAUUCUCUGAAAUACUGCCUGAUCUCUAGUGUGCAACUGCUGGAGGAACAGGGAGUUGCUGCCCAUGGGAGAAUAUCCCAGGUUUUGUUCUAUGAGGAAAUUUGCUGCUUCGAUGUGGUUCUGUCCUUCCAGAUGCCUGUGAAUUCCUCCAGGGUACCCUGGAGCAGGACUACUCAGGCUCUGGAAGAAAAACUACUGGAUAAAAUAAAUUGGUCUGUGGCCUCUUGAACUUGCUAGAAACAACCUUGCUGUCAAGCGCAACGCUAACUUCAGAGAUCUUAGCUGAAAGGUAUUGUCACCCUCCCUCCUCUUCUUCUUUUUCUUCUUCUUUUUUUUUUUUUUUUUCUUCUCCCUGUUCUCUUGGGAAACUAUUUUGUCUAUACUGAUUUGUACCCAUAAGGAGAAAAUGGAUGCAGAUCCAAAAUGUUGCCAGGGAUCGGGAUAGCUCUGACAGUUCUGACGAGGCUAGCAGCCUCGAGAAAAGUCAACCAAGGCUCUUGGCAGCCAACCUGGUUUGGGGCAGGCAAAAUUCUGGUCCAUUUCUGGACUGGUGUCUGGAAGCGUUCAUCCCAUGAUGGCAUAAGUCAUAUCUAACGGAUCAGUUCUGGGCAUAUAUACCCAUUUGCCAUUUUGCAUGCUUCUGUCUCUGCGCAGGUCUGCGCCUAAUGAAUGCCGAGGGAAAUGUUCUUAAUGCUGCUUUUGAGGUAUCACUUCUUUAGAGAAGACAACCAAUUUUACUGUUUACUUUGUUACCAUGUCUCAGAAGUUCCUUCACCUCCUGACUGUGACCCUUACUGUGACCUGCAAAUUGAGGAAGCAGACUUUAGCAACAAAGAUGGAAACACCUCAGAGGAAUAUGUCUGA